CGCUGUUUUUGUCACAAGCCAUCCCACUCACAGCUGAUGUACUAGAGCAGCUCCUUGAAAUUUGACUGUCAGCAGCGGGCAGCAACAAAACAAGGGCAGAGGAAUGUGUGGUUGCAUUUUGGAGGGAGUACCCGCCGGAUGUCGAGGCGCAAGAGGGACCCUUGAAACUUGGGGGUGUCCUGGCCUAGGCGACGAGAGCAAAUGCAAUUCCACCCCUGGGCUUCUCCCCAUGACCUUCAGUGGAUUUUCUCCAUGAGCUGCUGCAAUAACUUCCUGCGGUUGUCAGUCCUGAAAAUAUUGGAGGAUUUUUAGGAAACAAUGGAUUUUGUAUUAAAAAACACUCAAGGAUUUGGUCAGGAAUGACUUCAGAGAACCCCUGAACAUACAUUAUUAAAGUCUGUUGCCUGUUGAACUUUAUUAAACUGUUGAGACAUAGUUGUUAAUAACUUACCAUUUCCUAAUACAUUAAUGUCUUGUUUAAACAAUUGACAAUGGAAUAAUCAU